GGGGGCUAUACAUGCAGUCGAACGCCUCUUUUUCCACCGGAGCUUGCUCCAUCGGAAAAAGAGGAGUGGCGAACGGGUGAGUAACACGUGGGUAACCUGCCCAUCAGAAGGGGAUAACACUUGGAAACAGGUGCUAAUACCGUAUAACAAUCGAAACCGCAUGGUUUCGAUUUGAAAGGCGCUUUCGGGUGUCGCUGAUGGAUGGACCCGCGGUGCAUUAGCUAGUUGGUGAGGUAACGGCUCACCAAGGCGACGAUGCAUAGCCGACCUGAGAGGGUGAUCGGCCACAUUGGGACUGAGACACGGCCCAAACUCCUACGGGAGGCAGCAGUAGGGAAUCUUCGGCAAUGGACGAAAGUCUGACCGAGCAACGCCGCGUGAGUGAAGAAGGUUUUCGGAUCGUAAAACUCUGUUGUUAGAGAAGAACAAGGAUGAGAGUAACUGUUCAUCCCUUGACGGUAUCUAACCAGAAAGCCACGGCUAACUACGUGCCAGCAGCCGCGGUAAUACGUAGGUGGCAAGCGUUGUCCGGAUUUAUUGGGCGUAAAGCGAGCGCAGGCGGUUUCUUAAGUCUGAUGUGAAAGCCCCCGGCUCAACCGGGGAGGGUCAUUGGAAACUGGGAGACUUGAGUGCAGAAGAGGAGAGUGGAAUUCCAUGUGUAGCGGUGAAAUGCGUAGAUAUAUGGAGGAACACCAGUGGCGAAGGCGGCUCUCUGGUCUGUAACUGACGCUGAGGCUCGAAAGCGUGGGGAGCAAACAGGAUUAGAUACCCUGGUAGUCCACGCCGUAAACGAUGAGUGCUAAGUGUUGGAGGGUUUCCGCCCUUCAGUGCUGCAGCUAACGCAUUAAGCACUCCGCCUGGGGAGUACGACCGCAAGGUUGAAACUCAAAGGAAUUGACGGGGGCCCGCACAAGCGGUGGAGCAUGUGGUUUAAUUCGAAGCAACGCGAAGAACCUUACCAGGUCUUGACAUCCUUUGACCACUCUAGAGAUAGAGCUUCCCCUUCGGGGGCAAAGUGACAGGUGGUGCAUGGUUGUCGUCAGCUCGUGUCGUGAGAUGUUGGGUUAAGUCCCGCAACGAGCGCAACCCUUAUUGUUAGUUGCCAUCAUUCAGUUGGGCACUCUAGCAAGACUGCCGGUGACAAACCGGAGGAAGGUGGGGAUGACGUCAAAUCAUCAUGCCCCUUAUGACCUGGGCUAC
rnacentral:rRNA from 1 species